rnacentral:rRNA from 1 species
AAUAUUGGACUAUGGGCGAAAGCCUGACCCAACCAUGCCGCGUGUGUUAAGAAGGUCUUGGGAUUGUAAAGCACUUUAAGUUGGGAGGAGGGGCAGUAAGUUAAUACCUUGCUGUUUUGACGUCACCGACAGAAUAAGCACAGGCAAACUUAGUGCCCGCAGCCGCGGUAAUACGAAGGGUGCAAGCGUUAAUCGUAAUUACUGGGCGUAAAACACGCGGAGGUGGUUUGUUAAGUUGGAAGUGAAAGCCCCGGGCUGAACCUGGGAACUGCUUUAAAAACUGGCAAGCUAGAGUAUGGCAGAGGGUGGUGGAAUUACCUGUGUAGCGGUGAAAUGCGUAGAUAUAGGAAGGAACACCAGUGGCGAAGGCGACUACCUGGACUGAUACUGACACUGAGGUGCGAAAGCGUGGGGAGCAAAC